rnacentral:rRNA from 1 species
UACGUAGGGUGCGAGCGUUGUCCGGAAUUAUUGGGCGUAAAGGGCUCGUAGGCGGUUUGUCGCGUCGGGAGUGAAAUCAUCUGGCUUAACUGGGUGCUUGCUUUCGAUACGGGCAGACUAGAGGUAUGCAGGGGAGAACGGAAUUCCUGGUGUAGCGGUGAAAUGCGCAGAUAUCAGGAGGAACACCGGUGGCGAAGGCGGUUCUCUGGGCAUGACCUGACGCUGAGACGCGAAAGCGUGGGGAGCAAACAGG